GCCUUCGUAGUGUAACGGUAGCACACUCGGCGCGUAUUCGAUAGUUUCAGGUUCGAUUCCCGGCGAGCGCA
rnacentral:tRNA from 1 species